rnacentral:rRNA from 1 species
UACGUAGGGGGCAAGCGUUGUCCGGAUUUAUUGGGCGUAAAGAGCUCGUAGGCGGUUCCGUAAGUCGGGUGUGAAAAAUCUGGGCUCAACCCAGUGGAGCACCCGAUACUGCGGUGACUCGAGUCCGGUAGGGGAGUGUGGAAUUCCUGGUGUAGCGGUGAAAUGCGCAGAUAUCUGGAGGAACACCGGUGGCGAAGGCGGCAUCCUGGACCGGCAUUGACGCUGAGGCGCGAAAGCCAGGGGAGCAAAGCGGGG